AGGGCAGGGCAGGAAGGAGCCCUUCCCAGGGACCGACUCGGCGCCAGGGGAACGUGCUGAGCGUCCUUCCCUCUCCGGCGAGGAGGGAGGUUUCCUCCAGAGGUUCCUGGGUUUGCUGUUACUCAACAGCCACUUCUCUCUACUCAACUGAACGUUCCAUAUGCUGCUGCAUGUUGAACCUGACCAGCCAGCCCACAUGAGUGAAAAUGCACAAAGAAAGACAGUUGUUUCGUAAAUACUGUUGGAAAUAGACAUGCUCCUAGAAAACUGAACAAAACAGAAAAGGAAAUGGAGGC